AUGAUGAACGCGGAGUACGACUGAGGUAUGAUGUAGUGGUCCUCGGCUGAGA
rnacentral:misc_RNA from 1 species